rnacentral:ncRNA from 2 species
AUCCUCGUUUCGCUGCCAGGUGCCCGCCGCAAGGCGGGAGAAUCGGGAACACGGUUGAAAUCCGUGGCGUGCCCAGCGCUGUAAGGGGGACCAUUCCGGUCAAUGCCACUGCCCUUCAGGCGGGAAGGCGCCGGAGCGGGAUGAACCCAAGCCAGAAGACCGGCCCGGCAGACAUGGUCCCC